rnacentral:rRNA from 1 species
CCUACGGGUGGCAGCAGUGGGGAAUAUUGGACAAUGGGGGCAACCCUGAUCCAGCCAUGCCGCGUGUGUGAAGAAGGCCCUCGGGUUGUAAAGCACUUUCAGUGAGGAAGAACGCCUGGUGGUUAAUACCCAUCAGGAAAGACAUCACUCACAGAAGAAGCACCGGCUAACUCCGUGCCAGCAGCCGCGGUAAUACGGAGGGUGCGAGCGUUAAUCGGAAUUACUGGGCGUAAAGCGCGCGUAGGUGGCUUGAUAAGCCGGUUGUGAAAGCCCCGGGCUCAACCUGGGAACGGCAUCCGGAACUGUCAAGCUAGAGUGCAGGAGAGGAAGGUAGAAUUCCCGGUGUAGCGGUGAAAUGCGUAGAGAUCGGGAGGAAUACCAGUGGCGAAGGCGGCCUUCUGGACUGACACUGACACUGAGGUGCGAAAGCGUGGGUAGCAAACAGGAUUAGAUACCACUGUAGUC